UACGGAGGGUGCAAGCGUUAAUCGGAAUUACUGGGCGUAAAGCGCACGUAGGUGGUUUGUUAAGCUAGCUGUGAAAUCCCCGGGCUCAACCUGGGCACUGCAGUUAGAACUGGCAAGCUAGAGUAGGGUAGAGGGGUGUGGAAUUCCAGGUGUAGCGGUGAAAUGCGUAGAUAUCUGGAGGAACACCGGUGGCGAAGGCGGCAUCCUGGACCGGUAUUGACGCUGAGGCGCGAAAGCUAGGGGAGCAAACGGG
rnacentral:rRNA from 1 species